rnacentral:rRNA from 1 species
UAGGGAAUCUUCCGCAAUGGACGCAAGUCUGACGGAGCAACGCCGCGUGAGUGAAGAAGGAUUUCGGUUCGUAAAACUCUGUUGUUAAGGAAGAACGAGUGUGAGAAUGGAAAGUUCAUACUGUGACGGUACUUAACCAGAAAGGGACGGCUAACUACGUGCCAGCAGCCGCGGUAAUACGUAGGUCCCGAGCGUUGUCCGGAUUUAUUGGGCGUAAAGCGAGCGCAGGCGGUUAGAUAAGUCUGAAGUUAAAGGCAGUGGCUCAACCAUUGUAGGCUUUGGAAACUGUUUAACUGGAGUGCAGAAGGGGAGAGUGGAAUUCCAUGUGUAGCGGUGAAAUGCGUAGAUAUAUGGAGGAACACCGGUGGCGAAAGCGGCUCUCUGGUCUGUAACUGACGCUGAGGCUCGAAAGCGUGGGGAGCGAACAGG